CAGAGAGGUAACAUGCAUCAGGAGAGCUUCGACUGAAGAAAACACGAUGAAACUUCUUAUCACGGAACCACGUUCACUGUCACUUUGCAGAGGAACAGGCUGGUCAUCUGUUUCCACCUUUUCCCACCGCCACACCAAUACUCCGUCUUUUGACAUGUGAGGAGGAGCUUGCAUGAAAGCUUAGGCGGUUUGGAGUCAGGAAAGGGAAGGAGCAAAGGCCGAACGGCGAUGGCGAGUUCUGCAGAGGGAGCAACGGGAGGCAAUGAAAGUGAGAUUCGUGAUGCAGCCAGGAAGAGCAGCGGGAUUAGGACGUUAACGUGUUUCCAACAGGCCAGGUGCACGCGGGGUUGUGUGCGUCCAUGUGCCCCCGCUACCCUCACUCAGGAUGAUGUAAUCACUCCAGAGGGUUCAAACAUCAAUCGCCCUACAACACACAACGACAGCGGGACUGUAUGGGCGGUGUGAAGACGUCGAGAUCUGAACCAGGGUCGCUUAGAGUUGGCGGUCAAGUUCACUCUUAGUUCAGAGUUUUGAGUCGAUGCCACAACUCAAAACUUAAGGGGUACUGUCAGGGUAAGUCGUGUUGUUGAAAAAUAUAUUCCAUGCUUUUAUUUGUUCCAGCUUGAUUAAUAAGUAAAAAAUCAUUCGCCUGGUUUAACAAGCCAUCCUUGGACUAUCUGCAGGUUGUACAAAGCAAUGCUGUCAAGUUUCUGACGAAGUCACCAAAGUUAAAAAAAGAUUUUUUCCUCUCCACUGUCGCUACAUGCAUACUUGGUAUGAGGGAUUGCUGUAAAGUCAACAACUCAACGCAAGCAAUUUUCUUAUGUCUCUACUUCCAGGAGAAGUGAAUCCUGCAAGUCAAUGACUUGAUGCAAUCUCCUGGGUUUCAGUCUUUUUCAAACUAUAGUCCCCAGACCACUGGUGGUCUGCAGGCGCCCCUAGUGGUCUGUGGGGUACUGGAUGUAAAGGGCCAUUUAUUUGCCGUGAUGUGAGCUCAAAGUUGGACGCUACAGCUAGCUUACCAAAGGAUAGUCUUGAAAAUAAUAAUGGAAGACUGGCUGAAAACUGAGUCACUCAAGUUUGAGGUUAGGUGGUCUGUGACUGUUUGUUAACUGAGUUAACUGGUUCUCAGCCUGAACAAGUUUUAGAAACACUGCUUUAGAUCAAAACAUUUUAAACUACUGUACAUUAAAUAAUUAACUAAGCUUACUCUACUGUUUGAUAAUUAGGAUAAAUUG